GAUGAACGCUGGCGGCGUGCCUAAUACAUGCAAGUCGAGCGAACGGACGAGAAGCUUGCUUUUCUGAUGUUAGCGGCGGACGGGUGAGUAACACGUGGAUAACCUACCUAUAAGACUGGGAUAACUUCGGGAAACCGGAGCUAAUACCGGAUAAUAUUUUGAACCGCAUGGUUCAAAAGUGAAAGACGGUCUUGCUGUCACUUAUAGAUGGAUCCGCGCUGCAUUAGCUAGUUGGUAAGGUAACGGCUUACCAAGGUAACGAUGCAUAGCCGACCUGAGAGGGUGAUCGGCCACACUGGAACUGAGACACGGUCCAGACUCCUACGGGAGGCAGCAGUAGGGAAUCUUCCGCAAUGGGCGAAAGCCUGACGGAGCAACGCCGCGUGAGUGAUGAAGGUCUUCGGAUCGUAAAACUCUGUUAUUAGAGAAGAACAUAUGUGUAAGUAACUGUGCACAUCUUGACGGUACCUAAUCAGAAAGCCACGGCUAACUACGUG
rnacentral:rRNA from 1 species